GUCUAAACUUUUUUUUAGAAAAA
rnacentral:tRNA from 1 species